CAUACAUGCACACACAGGCGCAUACACACACACACCCAGGCAUGCACACACACACGCACACACAGUUGUCAUGCAGUGUCCCGGUGAAUGGUGGCUCCUAGCCCAUCCUGAAGUUGGGGUCAAAUCCUGGCUCUGCCACUUACAAGUCAUCUGAACUUGUGUGGAUCAUGUCACCCCCCAACUUAGUGUCCCCAUCUGUAAAUGGGGCCCAUACAGGGACCCCCAUCAUAGGGCAUGGCGAGGGUUAACCACUGCACCUGUGCAGAGCUCUGGGGACACAGCUGGCCACAGCAUGAGGAUGGCCAGCAUCUUCACCAGUCCAGGGCCACACGGUGGUCUCUUUCUGUGCUGAGCUGCAGGCUUGAGGCUGUGGACCCUGAAGCUGUGCAGGCUGUGAGGGCGCCCCGGUGCUUCCUCUCAGUGUCAGCUCCUUGGGGAACAUGAAGGAUGAACCAUAGGGAGCGAUUACUCAGAACAAUAAUUUGUGCUUAGAUUGAUUUUAAUCAGCAGCACAUUAGAAAGGCCCUCAUGUGAUCACCGUUUAAUGACUGUGAUAUGCGUAAUCCAUUUUAUUCUCAGCUGGCUCCUGUGGUAAUUACAUUUCUCUUGUGUUUAAUUCAUAACUUGAUCAUUUAUUCCAAGUCGUGUUGGGCUUGGACCUCGGGCUCCGAGGAACGGCCGCUGACGGAGCUCAGACCCAGCACUUCUCCUGGAGAGCCAGCCGCUCGCUGCUGGCCAUGUCUGGAGGUGGCGAGGACAGGCUUUUCCAUCGAUCUUGGUGGGGGCACCUGCUCCAGGGGCAUCUCCAUGGGCACUUGGUGGGACAAAGCUGCAGGAAUAGUUGAUGUUGAGGUUGAUGGUGACAGUGAGGACUGAGAGAAUACAGUCACGUACCAUGGGACAAUGUUCAGGCUAGCGAUGAACCUGUAAUGCCACAGGGUCCCGUACGAUAUGAGACCUGGUUUUGCUGUACCUUUUCUAGGUUCAGGUGUGUUUAGAGACACAAAUGCUCACCGUUGCGUUACAGUUGCCUCUCAUAUUCAGCACAGCAACACACUGUGCGGGUUUGCAGCCUUGGAGCAACGGGCAGCACCACGUGGCCUCGGGGUGUCAUGGGUGGCACUGUCUGGGUUUGUGUGAGUGCACUCUGCAGUGUUCACAACCAAACACUGACUUUCUCAAAACUCUCUCCAUCAGUAAGUGAUGCACUGCUGCACCAGAUGCAAGAUCACGUGACCACGCGCUUCCCGCACAUGCUCACGCAAAGACCUCAGGUGACCACGCACUUCCCGCACACGCUCACGCAAAGACCUCAGGUGACCACGCACUUCCCGCACACGAUCAUGCAAAGAUCUCACGUGACCACACGCUUCCCGCACACGCUCACGCAAAGACCUCCUGUGACCAUGUGCUUCCCACACAUGCUCACGCAAAGACCUCAGGUGACCACACGCUUCCCACACACACUCACGCAAAGAUCUCACGUGACCACACGCUUCCCACACACGCUCACGCAAAUACCUCACGUGACCACACGCUUCCCGCACACGCUCAUGCAAAGAUCUCACGUGACCACGUGCUUCCCACAUACACUCAUCCCCCCACAGCAGUGGGAGGUCCAGGGACAUGCAGCAGCCCCAGGGGUCCUGGGUGUUCUACUUAACCUUUCUGUGCCUCAAUUUCUCCCUCUGAAAUGGGGCUGAUACCAGUCUUAGUUUCACUGGGGUGAUGAGCUGGGGGCCUAGAUUACAGGAAGUGCAGUACAGGUGUUUGUUAAAUCACUAAAACCAUCAGCACCUUUGCCUGACAGGCGAGGAAACGGAGGCACAAGGAGCUGAUUAGCCCGUGAAGAUGUUCUGAUGGCCUCAGAAGAACUCAUCAGCCGAUCCCCACCAGGCUACGCUGCCUCUUCUGGGAGCCUCUGGUCUCCCCAGAACGUCCAUCCACUGGGGUUAGAUUUGUCCGGUGCUCACCCCUCCACAGGGGAGCCUGCUUGUCAGCACAGGGCUGGCCACCCUGGCACCAGAGUUUAGUCCCUAGGGAGGUUCUUUCCCUGGCAUCCUGGGGACUGGGCUGUCGUUUCAGUUUAGGCCACCGUCACCUGCUCAUUCAUCCCCCCACGCCCUCCCUCAAAUUUCCUGAGUGUGCAAGGAAACCCCCGCCCUACUGCCCUGGACGAGCUCUUUCCCACCAGGGUGAUCAGGGUCCCCCUAACUCAUCAGGGCGGCCCUGCCCCAGCAAUCCCCACAUCUGGAAGUCGCUCAUUAGGACCUCAUUAGCCUGUGCUCCGCCUCUCAGCCCAUGGCCGUGGUGAGUUCAGUCUGCAGCAACCACCCAACCGACUGCACCAGCAGGGCAACGAGAGCCGCAAGAAUGACAGCGCUGUUUACUCUCCAGUUUCCCCAGAAAGGCCUGGCCAAAGCAUGCACAGGCAGCCGUGCCAGGGGCUCCUGCAGCACCUUAAGAGACCAGGAAGGGGGCGGAUUAGCAGGGGUCAAGGAUCUGGGGAAGAAGAGAAUGAAUUUAGAAGGCUGUAAACCCCAUCUGAGCCUUACACGUAGUUUCCUCUAAUUGGAUUUUCACCAAGGCCGUGAUGGAUGUGGAGUCUCGGCUUUCUGACAACGUCUUCCAGAGCAGGCUUUCUCUAGAGGGUGAACCGGCUUUGUUCUCCUGGGAGAGAACACAUUUGCUUCCGAUGCCCAGGGCACGAAAGAGCUGGACGAAACAGCGGAAGUAGAGGAGGUAGAUUCUCUACCUGGGAAACCCAGCAGGGCACACUCACACUGGAAUUCAGAUGUUGUAAUAAGUGUGCGGAUGCGCCUGUUCUAAGGGAAUAAAGGGUUCUGCCCUCCUAAAAAUUCUGCCCUUGCAAGGGGUGUGGAGACUGCAGAGCUGCUUCCCGGCUUCUUCCUCCAGGAAGCCUUCUGUCCUCCUCCGAACUGUAGACACAGGGCUGGUAAACGGGUAGCCGGGCGCCCCCACCGCCUCCGUGUGGUUCCAUGACUGAGCAGGUCCUCCCUGGCCACUCCCAUCUCUGAUGACAGAAGGUACCAUGGUGAGAGCCACUGAAUUAGGAAGAUGGUGAGGGGCAGGUGCCCUUCGGGGGCUGGGGGAUUCUGGACUCUGAGAGCCCCUGCCUCCAUUCCUGGUUAUCGCGGCCACUGCCCGUCUAGGCGGAGCAAUCUCUGUACCUGGGGAAUGCAGCCGCCCAUGGAGACGACUCAGAAUAAUGGGCGGUGUCUCCGUGUAGCUCCCGCCCCGGUGCGGAGCUCUUGGUACCAGAUGGCAGGUGGUGUCUAAACAGCUGUUCACGAGGACAUUAUCUCCAAGCACCCGUGGAAUCGAGCUUUCCUCCCCCCAGCUGAGAAGUGACAGGCACUUCCCUGUUUACCGAGGACAACAGUCGACUGCAGAGAGGCGUGGAGCUCGCAGCUCUUCUGAUGUCACAGUUGUGACUUGAGCGUCAUGUCCUAAAGCUUCAGGAUGAAGGCAGCUCCGCUCCACCGAGGGCCGGAGUCUGAGUCCAUGAAGUUGACCAAAGGCCACACAGCCACGGGAGACACAGUGGCCACCCUGGGGCAUCUACACUGAAGGCCAAGGGCGUGUGGAGGAAAAGCCGACUGAGCUGAGGCCUAGGGAGGAGGCAGCAGGCAAAGGAGGCAGAAGAAACUGCACGGUGGCGUCCAGGGCAGGGCAGGUGCGUCAUCUGGGCCAGUUGCAGAGACAUGCCCUUCCACCAACCAUCUGAGGAGCACUUAGCACCCACACGAUGAGCCCGGGAGGGGCCAAGCCAGGAGGCAGUGCGUGGGGCACAGAGCCUCUGAGCCAGAGAGGGGGAGGUCCCUCAGGAGGCCCCUGCCAUCCCCCACUCUGGGUGGGCCUCUCCAGCCAGACUCUGCACCCCAAGGGCAGGGCUGGGCCUAAGCCACACCUCGGGGUGCACGGGCUGUGGGGGGCUGCUCCUGGACACGGAAGGAUGACGCCGGCUUCCCUGUGCCUCUGCUGGGGCCGCGGGACCCAUGUUGUCCGCCUGGCCGCUCUGAUGCCAGCGUAGCACAGCCUCCAGGGCAGCCACGGCCCAACCUGCCUUCCUAGCCUCAGGGGUAUCCCAGAGCAUGUGGGAGUGCAGGAAAAGGUACUCCCAGGGGAUCCCCGCUCACCUCCCGGCCAUGCCCUACCAGGCACUAGUGCAGCGCUGCAGCCACCCCCAGGCCUUACCUACUCCCACCCACUCGGUCCCAGCACCACCAGCUUCACUACCUUCCAGGCACUCAGCAGCAUAAGAGACCUACACACACAUACACACACAUGUGCACACAUACACAGAAGGGGCUGAGUCACACACGACCCCAUUUGCAAGCCCCAGAAGCUGGACGUCCACUGAGCAGCAGAGAUAGCCCAUCCCAGAGGGCAAAGAGGAUCCCUGGGGUCCCUACGAGGACACCUCACCCAGGUCCUGCCUGCGGCUUCCCACUAGGCCCCUUUGGGAGGGUGGCUGCCCCCUAUACCACUCAGUGCUAGGGCUUACCCAUGCGCCCCCAGCCUGUACGCCCCCAGCCCAUGUACCCUCAGCCCUCUGCAACCCCCACCUGUUCACCAAUGACCCCACUCAUCCC